rnacentral:rRNA from 1 species
CCUACGGGAGGCAGCAGUGAGGAAUCUUGGUCAAUGGGCGCGAGCCUGAACCAGCCAAGUCGCGUGAGGGAAGACGGUCCUAUGGAUUGUAAACCUCUUUUGUCGGGGAGCAAAAGACGCCACGCGUGGCGUUCCGAGAGUACCCGAAGAAAAAGCAUCGACUAACCCCGUGCCAGCAGCCGCGGUAAUACGGAGGAUGCGAGCGUUAUCCGGAUUUAUUGGGUUUAAAGGGUGCGCAGGCGGAAGAUCAAGUCAGCGGUAAAAUUGAGAGGCUCAACCUCUUCGAGCCGUUGAAACUGGUUGUCUUGAGUGAGCGAGAGGUAUGCGGAAUGCGUGGUGUAGCGGUGAAAUGCAUAGAUAUCACGCAGAACUCCGAUUGCGAAGGCAGCAUACCGGCGCUCAACUGACGCUCAUGCACGAAAGUGUGGGUAUCGAACAGGAUUAGAUACCCUUGUAGUC